rnacentral:tRNA from 1 species
GUCUGCGUGGCUCAGUCGGUGAGCAUCUGACUUCAGCUCAGGUCAUGAUCUCACAGUUCAUGGGUUCGAGCCCCACAUCAGGCU